AGCCGUGCAGGACGAGACGUGCGCUGCAGAAGAAGGAGGCUUCAGCAGGAGAACUAAUGCGGGUCGACAGAAAACACUCACAUAGGGCUGUUUAAGGUUGUGCUCCCCCUCCCGAGCGCAGAGAGAGGCCCGGACCACGAGUCCACCCGGCGUCUGUAACCUCAACAACGCGCAGAUUAAUUGGAAUCAUGUGAUUUAUCACCACUGUAGAAAAUGCAGACUUCCAGAAAACACUGGAGGAGAAGUUGGGGAAGCAGAGGGAGGCUCAUCAGGAGGAGCUCAGCCACCUCCAAGAGCACAGUAAGGAAACAUCUCCUAUUUAAUCAACCUCUAUAGUAGGCCAAAAGUCACAGUAUGGCAUAAAAAAGUCAAAACUAUACCGUUAUAUGUCAUAUAAAUAGCCAAAUGUUAUAGUAUAUUAUGUAAAAGAAA